rnacentral:lncRNA from 1 species
UUUAGUUAUGGUCAGUAGGGUCACAUACAGUGGGAGUGUCUCAUAAGGACUGUCACUAGGGAAAAUAGGAUUCUGGUUUCCACUUCUCUAGUUCCUGCACCAAGGGGUGCUACUUUUAGCCACAAUACUGGUCAGGACCAUCCUAAUGAUAUCACUAUCCCUCAAAAGUCCAAGGUAUUUUUUGAUGUUGUUAAUUGUAUGUUAAAACUCUUUUCCC